AUUGAACGCUGGCGGAAUGCUUUACACAUGCAAGUCGAACGGUAGAGGGGGCAACCCCUCGAGAGUGGCGAACGGGUGAGUAAUAUAUCGGAACGUGCCCAGUCGUGGGGGAUAACGUAGCGAAAGUUACGCUAAUACCGCAUACGAUCUAAGGAUGAAAGCGGGGGAUCGCAAGACCUCGCGCGAUUGGAGCGGCCGAUAUCAGAUUAGGUAGUUGGUAGGGUAAAGGCCUACCAAGCCGACGAUCUGUAGCUGGUCUGAGAGGAUGAUCAGCCACACUGGGACUGAGACACGGCCCAGACUCCUACGGGAGGCAGCAGUGGGGAAUUUUGGACAAUGGACGCAAGUCUGAUCCAGCCAUUCCGCGUGCAGGAUGAAGGCCCUCGGGUUGUAAACUGCUUUUGUACAGAACGAAAAGGCUCUGGUUAAUACCUAGGGCUCAUGACGGUACUGUAAGAAUAAGCACCGGCUAACUACGUGCCAGCCGCCGCCGUAA
rnacentral:rRNA from 1 species